UUGAGCCGUGUGCCGUGAAAGUGGCAAGCACGGUUCUGAGGGGGGCGGGUUACAGCGAUGUAGCCCGCCUACCCGAC
rnacentral:ncRNA from 1 species